AAAUAAGUAAGCUAAUCAAAGCUUUUAGGUUCAUACCCUAACUAUAGAAAAUUUUCUCUUAUUUA
rnacentral:tRNA from 1 species